UACGAAGGGGGCUAGCGUUGCUCGGAAUUACUGGGCGUAAAGGGAGCGUAGGCGGACAGUUUAGUCAGAGGUGAAAGCCCAGGGCUCAACCUUGGAAUUGCCUUUGAUACUGGCUGUCUUGAGUACGGGAGAGGUGUGUGGAACUCCGAGUGUAGAGGUGAAAUUCGUAGAUAUUCGGAAGAACACCAGUGGCGAAGGCGACACACUGGCCCGUUGCUGACGCUGAGGCUCGAAAGCGUGGGGAGCAAACAGG
rnacentral:rRNA from 1 species